AGGCUUUACGACACAGACACAUGGAGCAGACCGGGGUAAGGACAGACACCCGGGGAAUCUCUGACCAGCUCUGGUCAGAGUGCUAGGUGUGGGCUUCCUUCGCCCUUUGUAUGACAAAGGCAUCUGGAAGCAGAGGAGAGGGGAAUGUGGGGCAACUCCCACCCCACAUCCCCAGUUUGGCCAAAAUUGCUGUGGCAGAGGCCACAGUUCUGUCUGCUAGGAGAGAGGUCCUCUGAUGGAAGCAGGAUCCUUCCCUGACUCCGCUCAGGGGUGUGAGGUGAGGCAGCCACCCCAGGGAGGUAAGUGUUCAUUGAUUAGCUCAGCCAGGGCAGCUGAGAACAGGAGCUGUUACCUGUCACUGGUGGGGAAGCUAAGGGAAGCCUCACUUCAGGGCGUGAGGGACACAUCCUGAUACAGAAUGGUGUUGUCUGCUUGCCCUGACAUACACGGUUUCCUUGGGAAUUAUAGUUUGCUUUGAGAUGAGAACACUGUAUUUGCAGUGUGAACCUUCUUCACCACUUACAGCCAUUGAUUUCACAAAUGAGUCCCAGCAAGGGAACUUUAUCAAUCUGCUUUUUCACCCCACACAUCACUGAAACCGUCUUUGGAAAAUUAUGAUUGAGACAGUGAAAGAGAUCUAACUUAAUCCACUCCAUCUUGCCGCUAACCUCCAAGCUGUCCUUGUUUAUUUCUGGGCGUAGGCUGAACUAAGUUUGGGAGAAACUCAGUUUAUAGUUUAUAGUUUAAAACAAAGAUGAUAACAGCCCUUUCCCAAAGUAGAUCUCCUUCUUGCCUGGGGACUAGAUGGCCUUUGUAGGGCUAACAUUAGCCAUAAGAUUAGAAAUUAUAAUUAGGAGGCAUGUAGCUGGAGGCUGCAAGAUUCUGACCCUCCCUCCUAAGAUCAGUGCUUGAGAUAUUUUGCAGACUUUGCCCUUGAUGGAUCAGCUGGCACCACCCAGAUAGAUAAACUGGCUCAUCUGAUCUUGUGGCCCCCACCUAGGAACUGACUCAGCACAAGAUGACAGCUUGAACUCCCUGUGAUUUCAUCCCUGACCAAUCAGCACUCCUCACUCACUGGCUUUGCCCGCCCACCAAGUUGUCCUUAAAAACUCUGCUCCCUGAUUGCUCCAGGAGACUGAUUGGAGUAAUAAUAAAACUCCAGUCUCCCACAUGGCUGGCUCUGUGUAAAUUACUCUUUCUCCAUUGUAAUGCCCCUGUCUUGAGGAAUCGGCUCUGUCUAGGCAGUGGGCAAGGUGAACCCCUUGGGUAGUUAGAUCACUGACUGUCCACCUGCCACACACAAUCCUGUGCUAUCUCCUGUUGCCCACGUGCCUGAGGUGAGCGAAGGACAUCUUUCCCUUCUCCAACCCCAGGCAUUCUUCUCUUGGAGAGUCUCAGGGCUUAGGAAAUGGUGUUGGGGGACCCACCCUCCCAAGCUUUGUAACUGGUAUGAAGCGGGGUCAUUUAUGACAUGAUGAGGCUGGAGGGUAGUUUUCACUCUCGUUUUCCUCGAGUUCUCCUCUGAGGCCAACACGUUAAGUCUGAGUCCAAUAUGAGGCCUCUGGACGCUGGCAUGCCUCUGAUUUGAGCAGGGGCGUCUGAGAAGAGCACUCUCGGUUAUGGAUCCUGAAGACUGAGUGCCAGGCAAUGCCACAAGUGCCCAAGAUCAAACAGUGCCACACUGCUAACAGAGAUGACAAGAACUGCUUGAACCUCUGGAGUAAUCUUCAUAUGCCCUGCAGCCCAAGUAACAAGAAGAAGGAGCAGAUCGAGAACUGAAGGGAUAAAGAGAAUUUGUGGCAUGUCUAAGCUCAUUUCAUCUUUGUAUUCGCUGGACAGAGUGUUUUUUAUCUGCUUUUAAUGUUGCAACCCCUGGGGCACAGGGAUACUUGUGGGACAAGUUAAGACCAUCGUGGGAGCCUGAGUCCCGAUGCUGACCUUCCCUGUGGCUGCACCAAGGUCACCUCCAGGGGGUGAGAAAACUGAGGCACAGAGUGAGCAUCUGAGCUGCCCAAGAGCAUACAUCUAGCCAGGGACAGAGUUAGGAUUUGUACCAGCUGGUUUGGUGCUCAAGCCUUCCAUCAUCACAACACCUUGGAGAGG